rnacentral:rRNA from 1 species
AGCGAACGUUAGCGGCGGGCCUAACACAUGCAAGUCGAACGAGAAUGUAGACUUCGGUCUACUAGUAAAGUGGCGGACGGGUGCGUAACACGUGGGUAAUCUACCUUCCGGCGGGGGACAACAGUCCGAAAGGAUUGCUAAUACCGCGUACGUCAGCGGCGCCUACGGGCGCUGUUGGGAAAGAUGGCCUCUCCUUGGAAGCUGUCACCGGAAGAUGAGCCCGCGUCCCAUCAGCUAGUUGGUGAGGUAAUGGCUCACCAAGGCUAAGACGGGUAGCUGGUCUGAGAGGAUGAUCAGCCACACUUGGACGGCGACACGGACCAGACGCCUACGGGAGGCAGCAGUGGGGAAUAUUGGGCAAUGGGCGAAAGCCUGACCCAGCCACGCCGCGUGAGUGAUGAAGGCCUUCGGGUCGUAAAGCUCUGUGGGGAGGGACGAACAAAUCUGGGGCUAAUCACCCGGAUCCUGACGGUACCUCCUUAGCAAGCACCGGCUAACCCUGUGCCAGCAGCCGCCGUAAUAC